rnacentral:rRNA from 1 species
UACGUAGGUGGCAAGCGUUGUCCGGAUUUAUUGGGCGUAAAGCGAGCGCAGGCGGAUUUUUAAGUGGGAUGUGAAAUACCCGGGCUUAACCUGGGUGCUGCAUUCCAAACUGGAAGUCUAGAGUACAGGAGGGGAAAGUGGAAUUCCUAGUGUAGCGGUGAAAUGCGUAGAGAUUAGGAAGAACACCGGUGGCGAAGGCGACUUUCUGGACUGUAACUGACGCUGAGGCUCGAAAGCGUGGGGAGCAAAC